UACGAAGGGGACUAGCGUUGUUCGGAAUUACUGGGCGUAAAGCGCACGUAGGCGGAUUUGUUAGUCAGGGGUGAAAUCCCGGGGCUCAACCUCGGAACUGCCUUUGAUACAGCAAGUCUUGAGUUCGAGAGAGGUGGGUGGAAUUCCUAGUGUAGAGGUGAAAUUCGUAGAUAUUAGGAAGAACACCGGUGGCGAAGGCGGCCCACUGGCUCGAUACUGACGCUGAGGUGCGAAAGCCAGGGGAGCGAACGGG
rnacentral:rRNA from 1 species